rnacentral:rRNA from 1 species
UACGUAGGGUGCAAGCGUUGUCCGGAAUUAUUGGGCGUAAAGAGCUCGUAGGCGGUUUGUCGCGUCUGCUGUGAAAAUCCAGGGCUUAACCCUGGACCUGCAGUGGGUACGGGCAGACUAGAGUGCGGUAGGGGAGAUCGGAAUUCCUGGUGUAGCGGUGAAAUGCGCAGAUAUCAGGAGGAACACCGGUGGCGAAGGCGGGUCUCUGGGCCGUAACUGACGCUGAGGAGCGAAAGCAUGGGGAGCGAACAGG